AAUCAACGCUGGCGGCGUGCCUAACACAUGCAAGUCGAGCGAGAAAGGGGCUUCGGCCCUGAGUAAAGCGGCGCACGGGUGAGUAACACGUGGGUAAUCUGCCCUUGAGUGGGGAAUAACACCGGGAAACCGGUGCUAAUACCGCAUACGAUCACGAUGUUUGCGGAUGUUGUGAUGAAAGGAGCAAUGCGCUCUUGGAGGAGCCCGCGGCUGAUUAGCUAGUUGGUAAGGUAAUGGCUUACCAAGGCAACGAUCAGUAGCCGGUCUGAGAGGACGGUCGGCCACACUGGAACUGAGACACGGUCCAGACUCCUACGGGAGGCAGCAGUGGGGAAUUUUUCGCAAUGGGGGCAACCCUGACGAAGCAACGCCGCGUGGGUGAUGAAGUCUCUUGGGACGUAAAACCCUUUCGACGGGGAAGAAACCGCAAGGUUGACGGUACCCGUAGAAGAAGCCCCGGCUAACUCCGUGCCAGCCGCCGCUGUAAAAC
rnacentral:rRNA from 1 species